UACAGGGGGUGCAAACGUUGCUCGGAAUUACUGGGCGUAAAGCGCGCGUAGGCGGCUUUUCAAGUCGAUUGUGAAAUCCCCGGGCUUAACCUGGGAACUGCAGUCGAGACUGUCGAGCUAGAGUAUGGGAGAGGGAAGUGGAAUUUCAGGUGUAGCGGUGAAAUGCGUAGAUAUCUGAAGGAACAUCAGUGGCGAAAGCGACUUCCUGGACCAAUACUGACGCUCAUGUGCGAAAGCGUGGGGAGCAAACAGG
rnacentral:rRNA from 1 species